rnacentral:tRNA from 1 species
GUCUCUUUGGCGCCAUUGGGAGCGCAGCUGGCCCUCUUAGUCAGUGGGUUGCAGCUUCGACUCCUGCAAGAGGCACCA